rnacentral:rRNA from 1 species
UACGUAGGGGGCAAGCGUUGUCCGGAAUCAUUGGGCGUAAAGCGCGUGUAGGCGGCUUGGUAAGUCCGCUCUGAAAGCCCGGGGCUCAACCCUGGGAUGCCGGUGGAUACUGUCGGGCUCGAGUCCGGAAGAGGCGAGUGGAAUUCCUGGUGUAGCGGUGAAAUGCGCAGAUAUCAGGAGGAACACCAAUGGCGAAGGCAGCUCGCUGGGACGUGACUGACGCUGAGACGCGAAAGCGUGGGGAGCAAACAGG